GCCUGGGUGGCUCAGUCGGUCCAGCAUCCGACUUCAACUCAGGUCAUGAUCCUGUGGUUUGCGGGUUUGAGCCCCGCGUCAGGCU
rnacentral:tRNA from 1 species